rnacentral:tRNA from 1 species
AAAGAAAUAAUUUAAAAAAGCUUCUAACUUUUACAUAGAGCACUAAUUUGUUCAUAUUUCUU